rnacentral:rRNA from 1 species
GACAGAGGGGCCGAGCGUUAGGCGGAAUCACUGGGCUUAAAGCGUGUGUAGGCGGAUCUGUAAGUACCUUGUGAAAUCCCACGGCUCAACCGGGGAACUGCUUGGUAUACUGCGGGUCUUGAGCCACCUAGGGGCAAGUGGAACAAACGGUGGAGCGGUGAAAUGCGUAGAUAUCGGGUGGAACGCCAAUGGUGAAAACAACUUGCUGGGGGUGUGCUGACGCUGAGACACGAAAGCCAGGGGAGCAAACGGG